AUCCUCUUGGCUCACAAGCUUGACAACUGUGCUUUCAUGCAACUGUGUGAGAUGCGCUUCCCUCUUGCUGGGACAUUCCCGUUCUGACG
rnacentral:snoRNA from 1 species